AUCACAGGCUCAAGAAAAGAGAGAAGCGUCCACGGAGGAGCGAAUCCUCUCUGCAGACUUCCGAGGAGGCCCACAUCCCUUCUGUUUGCACCCCACAAAAUAGGCUGACCAGGUUUGCCUCUCCCCACACAACCUCUGCGGCAGCGGAGUCCCUGCAAGUUAGGUGACCUUCUGAAGGUGACUCGAACCUCCCCCAGGGAAGACAUGGACGAUCCUGUGGUCCCACCAUCCUGCUGUCUCCCCUGACAGGACACUGCCUUCGUGACCCACAAAUAUUUGGGGCUUUUCUGCAGUGCUCUGUGGGAUCCUAAAAGAUAAGAGCCCCUGUCCAUCGCUGGGGAGCCUGCAGCCUCCCCACGGCGCUCGCUCGGGCCCAGAAAUUAGAAUUUAUAGCCGCCCUAAGGGCUAAAGGCAAAUUUAGCCAGCACCUAGAGGAGAAGUCCUGGGAAGGAGGGGAAUCCACAGCUGAGGGCUGGAGAGGACAUUCCCAACAGUGGCGGGGCCAACAUGGGCAACGGUGUCAGCAAAGGCUGGGUGGCAGGACUGGGUGACAGGGGCCCUUGGAGAGGCCCAGCCUGGCUGGGGGCGCGGGCUGGGAGCAACGAGGUUCAAAAUAUGGCCAUGAAGCUGAGAUCCCUUCCUCCCUCCAGGCAAGAAAGGGGGGCAGCUUUUUUUUUUUUUUUUUUUUUUUUUUGAGAUGGAGUCUCGCUCUGUCACCCAGGCUGGAGUGCAGUGGCGCAAUCUCGGCUCACUGCAAGCUCUGCCUCCCAGGUUCAUGCCAAUCUCCUGCCUCAGCCUCCCCAGUAGGUGGGACUACAAGUGCCUGCCGCCACACCCGGCUAAUUUUUUUGUAUUUUUUAGUAGAGACGGGUUUUCACCGUGUUAGCCAGGAUGGUCUCGAUCUCCUGACCUCGUGAUCCGCCCGCCUCGGCCUCCCAAAGUGCUGGGAUUACUGGCGUGAGCCACUGCUCCUGGCCAAGGGGGGCAGCUUUGAAAGCCCCUGGCACAACCUCCUGAGCUGUGGCAUCGCUGCCAAGAUGGCACUGAGGGCCCUCCAAGGCACGGGGUCCCUACUGGGCCCCCUGAGUGUGGCUGGUGGCUGGUGGCUGGUUGCCUCUUGGAGUAAGGCUCACUGCACACAAAGGUUAAAGGCUGGAGGUCACCAGGCCUGGAGCAGUGGCAGGUUCAAAUGCAGAUGUUGCCGCAACUUCCGUCAGUAUCUAGAACUAUCUGGAACUCGCACUCCCAGGAACACCGCCGUCCAGGUCGCCUUCCCUUCCUCCCUCAAGCCAGUUUGAGCUCUGUGCAGAGACAAAGGCUGGGCCCUGAGUGGCUGUCCUGGGUCCCCCUUCCUCCCGGAAUACCAAGCUCACACCGUUUCUCAGGCCUCGGGAGACCCUUCCUGUCAGGCCUUUGCAGCUCUGUCCCCACGGACACUGGGCUCCCUGGGCUCUUGGAGGAGGAAGGAGGGAGGAGGGGCAUGGAGGAGGAGGGAGGAGGGGCAGAGAGGAGGAAGGAGGAGGAACAGGGAAGAGUAGGGGGAGGGAGGAGGAGUAGGGAAGAGGAGAGAGGAGGAGCAGGGGUGAGUAGGGAGGAAGAAGGAGCAAGAAGGAGGAGGAGGGAGGAAGGAAGAGCAGGGAGGAGGGGCAGGGAGGAGGGAGCAGAGGCAAAGAGGAGGAGGGAGGAGUAGGAGGGAGGAAGGAGGAGCAGGGGGGAGGAGGGAGGAGAGGAAAGGAGGAGGGAGGAGAGGCAAAGAGGAGAAGGGGGAGUAGGAGGGAGGAAGGAGGAGCAGAGAAGAGCAGGGAGGAGGGAGGAGAGGCAAGGAGGAGGAGGGGGGAGUAGGAGGGAGGAAGGAAGAGCAGGGAGGAGGGAGGAGGGGCAGGGAGGAGGAGGGAGGAGGGGCAAGAAGGAGGCGGGAGGGAGGAGGAGGAGCAUCUAGGAGGAGGGAGAAGGGAGGAGGAGCAUCAAGGAGAAGGGAGGAGGAGCAAUGAUCACAGACACAGGAGGGAGCUCCCUGGGAUUUCAUAAGAUCCUAGUGCCAGAGCCAGGUGGGCUGAGGAAAGAGGAGAUCCUGAAUGUGGAACCCUGCAAGGGAGAUUAGACUGGAGUCCUAGCUGACACUUGCAGGUAUCCACUCUACACUCCCCAUACCUUUUUUUUUUUUUUUUUUUCUGAGACAGAGUCUAGCUUUGUCACCCAGGCUGGAGUGCAGUGGCACAAUCUCAGCUCACUAAAACCUCCACCUCCCAGGUUCAAGCGAUUCUUCCGCCUCAGCCUCCCGAGUAGCUGGGAUUACAGGUGCGCACCACCACGCCCAGCUAACUUUUGUACUUUUAGUAGAGACGG
rnacentral:lncRNA from 1 species